GACGAACCGUCCAAACGUUAUUCGGAAUCACUGGGCGUAAAGCGCGUGUAGGCGGCCUUGCAAGUCGGGUGUGAAAGCCCUCAGCUCAACUGAGGAAGCGCGCCCGAAACUGCAGAGCUUGAGUACCGGAGAGGAUGGCGGAAUUCCCCAAGUAGAGGUGAAAUUCGUAGAUAUGGGGAGGAACACCGGUGGCGAAGGCGGCCAUCUGGACGGAUACUGACGCUGAGACGCGAAAGCGUGGGGAGCAAACAGG
rnacentral:rRNA from 1 species